AACGAACGCUGGCGGCAUGCCUAACACAUGCAAGUCGAACGAGACCUUCGGGUCUAGUGGCGCACGGGUGCGUAACGCGUGGGAACCUGCCCUUAGGUUCGGAAUACCUCCCCGAAAGGGGUGCUAAUACCGGAUAAUGUCUUCGGACCAAAGAUUUAUCGCCUUUGGAUGGGCCCGCGUUGGAUUAGCUAGUUGGUAGGGUAAAAGCCUACCAAGGCGACGAUCCAUAGCUGGUCUGAGAGGAUGAUCAGCCACACUGGGACUGAGACACGGCCCAGACUCCUACGGGGGGCAGCAGUGGGGAAUAUUGGACAAGGGGCGAAAGCCUGAUCCAGCAAUGCCGCGUGAGUGAUGAAGGCCUUAGGGUUGUAAAGCUCUUUUACCCGGGAUGAUAAUGACAGUACCGGGAGAAUAAGCUCCGGCUAACUCCGUG
rnacentral:rRNA from 1 species